UUACGGCCACACCCCGUUUACACGCCGGUUCCCGUACAAUCACCGAAGUUAAGCAACGUUGAGCUUGGAGAGUACCUAGAUGGGUGAGUGCUUCGGAAUACUAGGUACU